UGAUACCAUCAUAAAACAGAUAAAUGUACUUUCCUGAGGUGCUAGUUUUAGGAAAACACUGUUAACCAAUGCAUUCUUGUGUUCUGUGCGUUUUCAGCUUUCUCUCGGCCUGCAAACGCCUUAAUCGUCAAGAUUGCACCAAAACUUAGUUUGAACAAAAAAGCUUUCUCUCGGCCUGCAAACGCCUUAAUAGUCAUGAAUGCACCAAAACUUAGUUUGAACAAAAAAGGUUGGAAAACUAUUCUCAAACCAUGAUACCAUCAUGAAAAGGAUAAAUGUACUUUCCUGAGAGGCUAGUUUUAGGAAAACACUGUUAACUAAUGCAUUCUUGUGUUCUGUGCGUUUUUAAGCUUUCUCUCGGCCUGCAAACGCCUUAAUAGUCAUGAAUGCACCAAAACUUAGUUUGAACAAAAAAGGUUGGAAAACUAUUCUCAAACCAUGAUACCAUCAUGAAAAGGAUAAAUGUACUUUCCUGAGAGGCAAGUUUUAGGAAAACACUGUUAACCAAUGCAUUCUUGUGUUCUGUGCGUUUUCAGCUUUCUCUCGG
ensembl:lncRNA